rnacentral:rRNA from 1 species
UGCCAGACUCCUACGGGAGGCAGCAGUGGGGGAUAUUGCACAAUGGGGGGAACCCUGAUGCAGCGACGCCGCGUGGGUGAAGAAGCGCCUCGGCGCGUAAAGCCCUGUCAGCAGGGAAGAAAAUGACGGUACCUGAAGAAGAAGCCCCGGCUAACUACGUGCCAGCAGCCGCGGUAAUACGUAGGGAGCGAGCGUUGUCCGGAAUUACUGGGUGUAAAGGGAGCGUAGGCGGGAUGGCAAGUUGGGUGUUAAAUCUACCGGCUCAACUGGUAGUCGCACUCAAAACUGCUAUUCUUGAGUGAAGUAGAGGCAGGCGGAAUUCCUAGUGUAGCGGUGAAAUGCGUAGAUAUUAGGAGGAACACCAGUGGCGAAGGCGGCUUACUGGACGAUGACUGACGCUGAGGCUCGAAAGCGUGGGGAGCAAACAGGAUUAGAUACCCGUGUAU